GUAGUUUUUUCCAUUCAGCUCUCCCAGAUCCAAAUUCCCUAAACCUUAUCCUCUCACUCGCUCCCUCGGCCGCCGGCGCGCCCUCACUCGCUCCCUCCACCGCCGGCCGCUAGUAGCCCGAACGGUUGUGGCCCUGUCCCAUUCAUCCUCCUGCAGCCCAACGCUAGCCACCCUAGCUGGUGCCCUGUCAUCUUCAUCCGCCAAGGCCCUAUGGUGUACGCCGUCGCUCCUCUCAGAUCCAGGGAUGGGAGAGACAUGGGUCACCUGGGAGACUGCAGUCAAACCCUGGUCAUCACCCAGGCGCUGCAUCGCCGCCGCCACGCCAUGGGCCUCCCCCGAUCUGUAUUUGUCGGUUGAUUUGAAGGGGAUCUGGCCGUUGACUGUUGCUGCUUCCCAUCGCCCGGGAGUUAUUGUUCAUUUUCCUCUCCUCUCCCUCUCCACUCAUCUACAAUCGGUGCUGCCGUUAGUUGAUUUGUUUACUUUUGUUCAUAAGAAGAUCAGCCAUGACUUGUGGUAGUACUUCUAUCCAGCAAGCAGUGCCUCAGUUGGAGCUCGCGCUUGAGCAGUACGUCAAGAACAGGGGCUACUACUCGUGUGACUCCUGGAGAUGAGAGGAUGAGGAUGAUAACUGCAGGUGAGAGUUGAGGCUGGAGCUUUGUUACUCUUUCCAUCCAACAACAAGAAAAGAAUAAGGGAUCGGACAGAUGUAAAAGAGAUGAAGUGAUUAUGUGAGAAACUUAUCAGGUUUUAUCCAUGUUGAGGUGCAAGGGGCCUCAGGUGCAACGUUCAGGAAUUGUUAGACUUGCGCCCGUGCAGACGUGCUCAUGUGCCUCCACGUGCGUC